AAAGAUCGAUACCGAGGGGGGGCAUGAUGCCGCGGAGAAUUCCUGCUCACGCAGGCAGCCUGUACCGCGUACAGUCUGAAACUCCCUAUACCUCAACAAACUGCCACUCCGGCGUGAAGGUAUCGUUCU
rnacentral:sRNA from 47 species